CCAUAGGGAGCUUGCUCCCGAAAGGUUAGCGGCGGACGGGUGAGUAACACGUGGGUAACCUGCCUGUAAGACUGGGAUAACUCCGGGAAACCGGGGCUAAUACCGGAUGCUUGAUUGAACCGCAUGGUUCAAUCAUAAAAGGUGGCUUCGGCUACCACUUACAGAUGGACCCGCGGCGCAUUAGCUAGUUGGUGAGGUAACGGCUCACCAAGGCAACGAUGCGUAGCCGACCUGAGAGGGUGAUCGGCCACACUGGGACUGAGACACGGCCCAGACUCCUACGGGAGGCAGCAGUAGGGAAUCUUCCGCAAUGGACGAAAGUCUGACGGAGCAACGCCGCGUGAGUGAUGAAGGUUUUCGGAUCGUAAAGCUCUGUUGUUAGGGAAGAACAAGUACCGUUCGAAUAGGGCGGUACCUUGACGGUACCUAACCAGAAAGCCACGGCUAACUACGUGCCAGCAGCCGCGGUAAUACGUAGGUGGCAAGCGUUGUCCGGAAUUAUUGGGCGUAAAGCGCGCGCAGGCGGUUCUUUAAGUCUGAUGUGAAAGCCCCCGGCUCAACCGGGGAGGGUCAUUGGAAACUGGGGAACUUGAGUGCAGAAGAGGAGAGUGGAAUUCCACGUGUAGCGGUGAAAUGCGUAGAGAUGUGGAGGAACACCAGUGGCGAAGGCGACUCUCUGGUCUGUAACUGACGCUGAGGCGCGAAAGCGUGGGGAGCGAACAGGAUUAGAUACCCUGGUAGUCACGCCGUAAACGAUGAGUGCUAAGUGUUAGAGGGUUUCCGCCCUUUAGUGCUGCAGCAAACGCAUUAAGCACUCCGCCUGGGGAGUACGGUCGCAAGACUGAAACUCAAAGGAUUUGACGGGGGCCCGCACAGCGG
rnacentral:rRNA from 1 species